GCAAACUUGGUCAUUUAGAGGAAGUAAAAGUCGUAACAAGGUCUCCGUUGGUGAACCAGCGGAGGGAUCAUUACAGAGUUAUCAAAACUCCCAAACCCAUGUGAACAUACCAUUCGUUGCCUCGGCAGGCGCCGUCCUACCUCCGUAGGCGAAACCUGCCGACGGCCCCCGAAACUCUGUUUUCAUAGCAUUUAGACCUCUGAAAAGAAAAGAUAACUAAAUCAGUUAAAACUUUCAACAACGGAUCUCUUGGUUCUGGCAUCGAUGAAGAACGCAGC
rnacentral:misc_RNA from 1 species